rnacentral:sRNA from 1 species
AGGUGUGAGCCACGGUUCCUGGCCGAUUAACAUUCUUUUAAGCGGCUCCCCCACUUCUAAUCUUAGUUUCCAUCCCAAUUUGGGAAUUGUUCCUGCCUGGAGAUGAGGGAACCAUCAAUGGUCUUGUCUGAGAUGCAUGCCUUGGUGCACAACAAAUUCCUCUGCCAUCGCUUAGUCCUUCAAAGCUGACAAUGCUUUUGGAGGUAAAAGCUAAAUGGAAAUCUCUUUUUUUCCUCUUCCUUUCUCUUCUUAAUGUGCAUUUUGGGAGGCAGUAGGCAGGCACAGUUACUGUAUUGCUGAUUCACAAACUUGAGAGCAAGGGUUCCUACUGCUGGUUGUAUAGACCUUGCCAGCAGCUUGUUUUUAUCAAGGGACACUUUAACAAUCAUCAUUAAUAACGGAGCUAAUAUUUUUUCACUGAGCUAUUACACAGUGAUGGCUGGUAAACUCAGCCCCAUGCCCUGACCUAACCAAUCACCUUGCUUUCUAGAUACCAGAUCAAUUAGCAUGUUUAACAUUUAAGGUGAGAUGUCAGAUAAUUUUGAUGGCUGGGAGAUACAUACCUACCAACUCUACUUAAAUCUAUUCAUGAUAAGUGAUAUCAUAGAUAUAUUCGAUUUCUCAGCUUUAAAGAACUUUAGAGAUCAUGCAGUUUUACAUUAUUCCAUUCAAAUAAAAUGGAAGGAAACAACUUGGUACCCAGAUGGAGGGGUUCACC